UGGGUUGUAAUUCAGUGGUAGAGCUCUUGCUUUGCAUGCAUGAGACCUUGGGUUUGAUCCUCAACACCACAU
rnacentral:tRNA from 1 species